GUGCUUGCUUUGGCAGCACUGGAACCAUACGGAGAGAUUAGCAUGGCCCCUGCACAAGGAUGACACACAAAUUCGUGAAACAUUCCAAAGGAAC
rnacentral:snRNA from 1 species